rnacentral:lncRNA from 1 species
AGGUUGGCAAAUAUUCUGUCACCUGCUAUUAAUGUUUUGAUAUGUGCCUUUUUGGUCUUUUUUGAACUUUUAAAUGACAUGAAAAUACAUAUACUGAAUGUAUAAAAAAACAUUUAUGUAGUUUAAAAGGUAAUUAUAAACUGAACCUCCAUUUAACCAACCCCAGGUUCGGAUAUAGAAUAUCAUCAGCACAUAUACUGUUAAUGUACCCUGCAGUUUAUCUGUCUGUUGUUUUCUAUCAUUACCAUGCUGUUUUGGCUACUGUAGCCUUGUAGUGUACUGUGAAGUCAGGUUGUUUUUGCUCA